GCGGGUAUAACUCAGUGGUAGAGUGCUAGCUUCCCAAGCUAAUAGUCGCGAGUUCGAAUCUCGUUACCCGCUCCA
rnacentral:tRNA from 1 species